rnacentral:rRNA from 1 species
GAUAAACGCUGGCGGCGUGCUUAACACAUGCAAGUCGAACGAAGUUUUUCCUUCGGGAGCAACUUAGUGGCGGACGGGUGAGUAACGCGUGGGUAACCUGCCCUGUACAGGGGGACAACAGCUGGAAACGGCUGCUAAUACCGCAUAAGCACUUAGCACUGCAUGGUGCAUAGGGAAAAGGAGCAAUCCGGUACAGGAUGGACCCGCGUCUGAUUAGCCAGUUGGCAGGGUAACGGCCUACCAAAGCGACGAUCAGUAGCCGAUCUGAGAGGAUGUACGGCCACAUUGGGACUGAGACACAGCCCAGACUCCUACGGGAGGCAGCAGUGGGGAAUAUUGCACAAUGGAGGAAACUCUGAUGCAGCGACGCCGCGUGAGUGAAGAAGUAUUUCGGUAUGUAAAGCUCUAUCAGCAGGGAAGAAAAUGACGGUACCUGACGAAGAAGCACCGGCUAAAUACGUG